rnacentral:rRNA from 1 species
AGAGUUUGAUUCCUGGCUCAGGAUGAACGCUGGCGGCGUGCCUAAUACAUGCAAGUCGAACGAGGAGCCUUUGUAGUAAUACGAGGGUUUCCUAGUGGCGAACGGGUGAGUAACGCGUUGGUGACCUGCCCCGAAGAGGGGGAUAACAGUUCGAAAGGGCUGCUAAUACCCCAUGUGGUCACGAGAGUUUGAGGUCUCGUGUCUAAAGGAGUAAUCCGCUUCGGGAGGGGCCUGCGUCCCAUCAGCUAGUUGGUAGGGUAAUGGCCUACCAAGGCUACGACGGGUAGGGGACCUGAGAGGGUGGCCCCCCACAAUGGAACUGAAACACGGUCCAUACACCUACGGGUGGCAGCAGUAGGGAAUAUUGCACAAUGGGCGAAAGCCUGAUGCAGCAACGCCGCGUGUGCGAUGAAGGUCUUCGGAUCGUAAAGCACUUUUCGGGGAGAUGAGAAAGGACAGUAUCCCCGGAAUAAGUCUCGGCUAACUACGUGCCAGCAGCCGCGGUAAGACGUAGGAGGCAAGCGUUAUCCGGAUUUAUUGGGCGUAAAGCGCGUGCAGGCGGUUUGGUAAGUUGGGUGUGAAAUCUCCUGGCUCAACUGGGAGAGGUCGUUCAAUACUACCAGACUUGAGAGCGGUAGAGGAAGGUGGAAUUCCCGGUGUAGUGGUGAAAUGCGUAGAUAUCGGGAGGAACACCAGUGGCGAAGGCGACCUUCUGGACCGUUUCUGACGCUCAGACGCGAAAGCUAGGGUAGCAAACGGGAUUAGAGACCCCGGUAGUCCUAGCUGUAAACGAUGUGAACUAGGCGUCGGUGGGUUAAUAGCCAUCGGUGCCGUAGCUAACGCGUUAAGUUCACCGCCUGGGGACUACGACCGCAGUUAAACUCAAAGGAAUUGACGGGCCCCGCACAGCAGCGGAGCGUGUGGUUUAAUUCGAUGCUACACGAAGAACCUUACCUCGGGCUUGACAUGUUGGUGGUAGGAUCCGAAAGUGACGACCCGCAAGGAGCCUUCCCAGGUGUUGCAUGGCUGUCGUCACUCGUGUUCGUGAGAUGUCCGGUAAGUCCGUUACGAGCGCACCUCGCUGUAUGGUUACAGUGUUCAUAUACGGAACGGCCGGAUUA